CACUCCUGCGGGAGGCAGCAGUGGGGAAUAUUGGACAAUGGGCGCAAGCCUGAUCCAGCCAUGCCGCGUGAGUGAUGAAGGCCCUAGGGUUGUAAAGCUCUUUCACCGGUGAAGAUAAUGACGGUAACCGGAGAAGAAGCCCCGGCUAACUUCGUGCCAGCAGCCGCGGUAAUACGAAGGGGGCUAGCGUUGUUCGGAUUUACUGGGCGUAAAGCGCACGUAGGCGGACUAUUAAGUCAGGGGUGAAAUCCCGGGGCUCAACCCCGGAACUGCCUUUGAUACUGGUAGUCUUGAGUUCGAGAGAGGUGAGUGGAAUUCCGAGUGUAGAGGUGAAAUUCGUAGAUAUUCGGAGGAACACCAGUGGCGAAGGCGGCUCACUGGCUCGAUACUGACGCUGAGGUGCGAAAGCGUGGGGAGCAAACAGGAUUAGAUACCCGUGUAGUCCCA
rnacentral:rRNA from 1 species